rnacentral:rRNA from 1 species
GCUUGUCUCAAAGAUUAAGCCAUGCAUGUCUAAGUAUAAACACGUUAUACUGUGAAACUGCGAAUGGCUCAUUAAAUCAGUUAUAGUUUAUUUGAUGGUUUUUGCUACAUGGAUAACUGUGGUAAUUCUAGAGCUAAUACAUGCGUAUAAGCCCCGACUUCUGGAAGGGGUGUAUUUAUUAGAUAAAAAUCAACACUGUUGGUGAAUCAUGAUAACUUCUCGGAUCGCAUGGCCUCGUGCUGGCGAUACUUCAUUCAAAUAUCUGCCCUAUCAACUGUCGAUGGUAGGAUAGAGGCCUACCAUGGUUGCAACGGGUAACGGGGAAUAAGGGUUCGAUUCCGGAGAGGGAGCCUGAGAAACGGCUACCACAUCCAAGGAAGGCAGCAGG